rnacentral:rRNA from 1 species
GGUUAAGCGACUAAGCGUACACGGUGGAUGCCCUGGCAGUCAGAGGCGAUGAAGGACGUGCUAAUCUGCGAAAAGCGUCGGUAAGGUGAUAUGAACCGUUAUAACCGGCGAUGUCCGAAUGGGGAAACCCAGUGUGAUUCGUCACACUAUCGUUAACUGAAUACAUAGGUUAACGAGGCGAACCGGGGGAACUGAAACAUCUAAGUACCCCGAGGAAAAGAAAUCAACCGAGAUUCCCCCAGUAGCGGCGAGCGAACGGGGAGCAGCCCAGAGUCUGAAUCAGCUUGUGUGUUAGUGGAACGGUCUGGAAAGUCCGACGGUACAGGGUGAUAGUCCCGUACACCAAAAUGCACAGGCUGUGAACUCGAAGAGUAGGGCGGGACACGUGGUAUCCUGUCUGAAUAUGGGGGGACCAUCCUCCAAGGCUAAAUACUCCUGACUGACCGAUAGUGAACCAGUACCGUGAGGGAAAGGCGAAAAGAACCCCGGCGAGGGGAGUGAAAAAGAACCUGAAACCGUGUACGUACAAGCAGUGGGAGCACCUUCGGGUGUGACUGCGUACCUUUUGUAUAAUGGGUCAGCGACUUAUAUUCUGUAGCAAGGUUAACCGUAUAGGGGAGCCGCAGGGAAACCGAGUCUUAACUGGGCGUUAAGUUGCAGGGUAUAGACCCGAAACCCGGUGAUCUAGCCAUGGGCAGGUUGAAGGUUGGGUAACACUAACUGGAGGACCGAACCGACUAAUGUUGAAAAAUUAGCGGAUGACUUGUGGCUGGGGGUGAAAGGCCAAUCAAACCGGGAGAUAGCUGGUUCUCCCCGAAAGCUAUUUAGGUAGCGCCUCGUGAACUCAUCUUCGGGGGUAGAGCACUGUUUCGGCUAGGGGGUCAUCCCGACUUACCAACCCGAUGCAAACUACGAAUACCGAAGAAUGUUAUCACGGGAGACACACGGCGGGUGCUAACGUCCGUCGUGAAGAGGGAAACAACCCAGACCGCCAGCUAAGGUCCCAAAGUCAUGGUUAAGUGGGAAACGAUGUGGGAAGGCACAGACAGCCAGGAUGUUGGCUUAGAAGCAGCCAUCAUUUAAAGAAAGCGUAAUAGCUCACUGGUCGAGUCGGCCUGCGCGGAAGAUGUAACGGGGCUAAACCAUGCACCGAAGCUGCGGCAGCGACACUAUGUGUUGUUGGGUAGGGGAGCGUUCUGUAAGCCUGCGAAGGUGACCUGUGAGGGUUGCUGGAGGUAUCAGAAGUGCGAAUGCUGACAUAAGUAACGAUAAAGCGGGUGAAAAGCCCGCUCGCCGGAAGACCAAGGGUUCCUGUCCAACGUUAAUCGGGGCAGGGUGAGUCGACCCCUAAGGCGAGGCCGAAAGGCGUAGUCGAUGGGAAACAGGUUAAUAUUCCUGUACUUGGUGUUACUGCGAAGGGGGGACGGAGAAGGCUAUGUUAGCCGGGCGACGGUUGUCCCGGUUUAAGCAUGUAGGCUGAUUGUCCAGGCAAAUCCGGAUAAUCAAGGCUGAGGUGUGAUGACGAGGCACUACGGUGCUGAAGUAACAAAUGCCCUGCUUCCAGGAAAAGCCUCUAAGCAUCAGGUAACAUUAAAUCGUACCCCAAACCGACACAGGUGGUCAGGUAGAGAAUACCAAGGCGCUUGAGAGAACUCGGGUGAAGGAACUAGGCAAAAUGGUGCCGUAACUUCGGGAGAAGGCACGCUGGUGUGUAGGUGAAGCCCCUGCGGGUGGAGCUGAGACCAGUCGAAGAUACCAGCUGGCUGCAACUGUUUAUUAAAAACACAGCACUGUGCAAACACGAAAGUGGACGUAUACGGUGUGACGCCUGCCCGGUGCCGGAAGGUUAAUUGAUGGGGUUAUCCGUAAGGAGAAGCUCUUGAUCGAAGCCCCGGUAAACGGCGGCCGUAACUAUAACGGUCCUAAGGUAGCGAAAUUCCUUGUCGGGUAAGUUCCGACCUGCACGAAUGGCGUAAUGAUGGCCAGGCUGUCUCCACCCGAGACUCAGUGAAAUUGAACUCGCUGUGAAGAUGCAGUGUACCCGCGGCAAGACGGAAAGACCCCGUGAACCUUUACUAUAGCUUGACACUGAACAUUGAGCCUUGAUGUGUAGGAUAGGUGGGAGGCUUUGAAGCGUGGACGCCAGUCUGCGUGGAGCCAACCUUGAAAUACCACCCUUUAAUGUUUGAUGUUCUAACGUUGGCCCCUGACCGGGGUUGCGGACAGUGUCUGGUGGGUAGUUUGACUGGGGCGGUCUCCUCCCAAAGCGUAACGGAGGAGCACGAAGGUUAGCUAAUCCUGGUCGGACAUCAGGAGGUUAGUGCAAUGGCAUAAGCUAGCUUGACUGCGAGCGUGACGGCGCGAGCAGGUGCGAAAGCAGGUCAUAGUGAUCCGGUGGUUCUGAAUGGAAGGGCCAUCGCUCAACGGAUAAAAGGUACUCCGGGGAUAACAGGCUGAUACCGCCCAAGAGUUCAUAUCGACGGCGGUGUUUGGCACCUCGAUGUCGGCUCAUCACAUCCUGGGGCUGAAGUAGGUCCCAAGGGUAUGGCUGUUCGCCAUUUAAAGUGGUACGCGAGCUGGGUUUAGAACGUCGUGAGACAGUUCGGUCCCUAUCUGCCGUGGGCGCUGGAGAAUUGAGGGGGGCUGCUCCUAGUACGAGAGGACCGGAGUGGACGCAUCACUGGUGUUCGGGUUGUCAUGCCAAUGGCACUGCCCGGUAGCUAAAUGCGGAAGAGAUAAGUGCUGAAAGCAUCUAAGCACGAAACUUGCCCCGAGAUGAGUUCUCCCUGAGACUUUAAGUCUCCUGAAGGAACGUUGAAGACGACGACGUUGAUAGGCCGGGUGUGUAAGCGCAGCGAUGCGUUGAGCUAACCGGUACUAAUGAACCGUGAGGCUUAACCUU